AGACAGCAGUCGCCACGGGAAUACAGAGGGUGCGAGCGUUAAUCGGAUUUACUGGGCGUAAAGCGUGCGUAGGCGGCUUUUUAAGUCGGAUGUGAAAUCCCUGAGCUUAACUUAGGAAUUGCAUUCGAUACUGGGAAGCUAGAGUAUGGGAGAGGAUGGUAGAAUUCCAGGUGUAGCGGUGAAAUGCGUAGAGAUCUGGAGGAAUACCGAUGGCGAAGUCAGCCAUCUGGCCUAAUACUGACGCUGAGGUACGAAAGCAUGGGGAGCAAACAGGAUUAGAUACCCGUGUAGUCCCUGUCUCUUAUAC
rnacentral:rRNA from 1 species